ensembl:lncRNA
GGAUAGCUCUGGUCCAGGGCAUUAGUGCUCAUUGUUCAACCUGGAGGAAGCUGCAUUAACACCCUGGACCAGAGCUCAAAACAGUAGUAAUUGUACAGGUAGCUAGUUAUUGUAAGACUAAUUUUCUCGAAUUUACAGUGGCUGUGGGAAGAGGAAGGCUAGACUGGAGUAACAUCAACUCAAGGACUGUACUAGCAGCAAGGUUCCCAGCACCUUGGUUAGAGAGCGAGGUAGUGUUCCCAGCACCUUGGUUAGAGAGUGAGGUAGUGUUCCCAGCACCUUGGUUAGAGAGUGAGGUAGUGUUCCCAGCACCUUGGUUAGAGAGCGAGGUAGUGUGCCCAGCACCUUGGUUAGAGAGCGAGGUAGUGUUCCCAGCACUUUGGUUAGAGAGCGAGGUAGUGUUCCCAGCACCUUGGUUAGAGAGCGAGGUAGCGACAGUGUUCCCAGCACCUU